rnacentral:rRNA from 1 species
ACGAAGGGGGCUAGCGUUGCUCGGAAUCACUGGGCGUAAAGGGGGCGUAGGCGGGUCUUUAAGUCAGGGGGGAAAUCCUGGAGCUCAACUCCAGAACUGCCUUUGAUACUGAAGAUCUUGAGUUCGGGAGAGGUGAGUGGAACUGCGAGUGUAGAGGUGAAAUUCGUAGAUAUUCGCAAGAACACCAGUGGCGAAGGCGGCUCACUGGCCCGAUACUGACGCUGAGGCACGAAAGCGUGGGGAGCAAACAGG